rnacentral:tRNA from 1 species
GGGUGAUUAGCUCAGUUGGUAGAGCGCUUCGCUUACACCGAAGAUGUCGGGAGUUCGAGUCUCUCAUCACCCA